UGAGUUUGGUGAUGAGCUUGUAAUUAGCAUAAUGCUAGUUAUCUUGCUAUCGUUUACCGCUGCGUAUUUCUGAUAUUGCUUAUUGUUAUUGAAUUGUGUUGUUAGGUGAACUUCUCGCUUUAGAUUGUUUGGGGUGGGAUAGCGAGGGGUUGUAUUUGUUAGUUGUGGAUUGUAACUCGCUGAGUAAUGCUAGAUUACUCACUUCUCACUCGUUGUUGUUUCAGGUGACCAGUAGCGAGCUUGUAGAGGUCGCGGGAGGCUAGGCUGGCUGGUGUAGAUUUGCAUCUUUUUGCUUAAGACGCUUUCAGACUAUAAGUAUGUAUUUUCGCUUUCUUGGUAUGCUACUACAUGUGUAAUAUUUUGUGUGUUGAAAACCAGAUAUUAUAUAAGAUAAAUAAAGCGAU
rnacentral:lncRNA from 1 species